GCAUGGGUUUGAUUUAUGGCAGGUUCAUAUUCCCUGGCCUCACAAAAUGCCCCAUACCAGAGCAACCUAUGGCUCUUAACUAUUGUGUGACCCUUGACAGUGAGCAACAAGCACUGAAGUGGACCACAUGGUG